rnacentral:lncRNA from 1 species
UGUCGCUGUGCCCUGGCCAGAGGGGUCAGAUCCUUCCUGGCCACUGCUGUCUGCCCCACAGCUGGGCCUAGAAGGUGCCUUACAGAGGGCAGGAGAAGGCACUAGAAGGACAGGACCCAUGAGGAAGCACCCAACGUCUGGAGGUGGCCUGGGCCUCAGUGGAGAGAAGAGGCAGUGGACAUGCGGGCACACAGCCGGAAGCAUACCUGUGGGGUCAGGGACAGCGCCCGCAGUGCGGGAGGUGGGCUGGCUGCAUUUGUUAGGGCCGCUGUUACAAAGUGCUGGACUGGGGACUUAAACGCUAUUUUCUCGUGGCUCUAGAGGCCGGAAGUCCAUGAAGGGGUCAGCAGUGUUGGUUCCUUCAGAGGGAGAAUCCGUUCCAUGCCCAUCUCCUGGCUUCUGGUGCUGGCCCUUGGUGUUCUCUGGCUUGUAGACAUGGCACUCCAUCUCUGCCUUCAUGUCCGCGUGGCCUUUUCCCUGUGUGCGUGUCCGUGUCCAAAUUUCCUCUUUUUAUGAGGACAGCAGUCAUCGGAUUAGGGUCCCCCUAUUCCAGCAUGACCUAUCUUGACUGAUCACAUCUGUGACACCUGCUAUUUCCAAGUAAGAUCAUAGUCUGAGGUCCUGGGGGUGAGCAUUUCAACAUAGGAAUAUUGGAGGGAUGCAGUUAAGCCCGUAACAUUGGUGAGAUCCCCCUGGGUGGUCACCCAAGUCCUGAAUGAGGACAGAACCCAGACUGAUGGGCACUUGACGGGCACUCUGCACAGGGCUGGGGCAGGCAGCCUGGUUACCAGCAGCCUUGCGUCACCAGGCUGCUUUCAAUCCGACAAAACCGAAUCAACAAAUGUCUCUAACCCCCUCUAGGUGCAAAGCCUCGGGCCAGGUGCUGUUGGGAAACGGGGCACAGCCUAAGACGGACUCCCUGCCCUGACGAGCGUUCCCAGCCCGUCUCAGAGCCCCCACCUGCUGGCCGGCCCGGCCCCACGGGACCCCAGUGCAGGGCUGGUGCCCAGUUUCCUGAACUCCAGGGCUCAGGGGACAGUGCCAGGUGAUCUUAACCUCUGGUCACUUGGGAGGAGUCAGUACAGCUGCUUCGGCUUCUUUACAGGAGAAAAC